rnacentral:rRNA from 1 species
CCUACGGGAGGCAGCAGUGGGGAAUAUUGGGCAAUGGAGGCAAGUCUGACCCAGCAAUGCCGCGUGAAGGAAGAAGGUAAUCGGAUUGUAAAGCUCUUUUCUUUGGAAAGAGUAGAUGACGGUACCAAAGGAAUAAGCCCCGGCUAACUACGUGCCAGCAGCCGCGGUAAUACGUAGGGGGCAAGCGUUGUUCGGAAUUACUGGGGGUAAAGGGUGUGUAGGUGGGUUGAUAAGUUAGAUGUGUAAUACCGAGGGCUUAACCCCGGAGCUGCAUCUAAAACUGUUAGUCUUGAGUAACGGAGAGGCAAGCGGAAUUCCUAGUGUAGCGGUGGAAUGCGUAGAUAUUAGGAGGAACACCAGUGGCGAAGGCGACCAGCUGGACGACAACUGACGCUGAGGCGCGAAAGCGUGGGGAGCAAACAGGAUUAGAUACCCUAGUAGUC